UUGGAAGAGGUUCUGUCUGGUGGUUGUGGUCUCUAUUGUCUCGGUGGUGCCACGUGACGCGUCCAGUGGCUUUGACUGUAAAGCACAGCAGCCUUUUCAAGUUGUAAGCUUUGAUUCAAAGAAAAAAGUCUUUCUUCUAAAGUGUUGCUGCUACACCUACAGACAUUAAUCGUUAAAGGUUAAGCUGAAACCAUCACUACACCAGACAACUCAUCUCUCUCCAACUGCAGAUUUUUGAUCCAGAGUCAGCUCUGCUGCCUCAUUCUUUGACCCUCCCACCGAGUAUCACCCUCUAAAAGAGACAAGCUUCGUACUGACGUGCACGCUCGUUAAAGGUCCAAAGGCUGUAGAAGAUGGGGUGCUGCUGUAGUAAGACUGACGAGUGGAGAGACAGCGACAGCGACAGCGAAAGCAUCAGCGACAUCGACAGUGACAUCAGCAGUCUGUCAGACAUCCUGCACUACAGUGGAUGGAGCACGAAGACGGUGGAGCACAGGCAGCACACCACCGCAGGAACCCAGCAGGCAUGGUUGGAUGCAGAGCUUAAAGGAGACAGCAGGUGUAAGGAGGAACCUGAGGUUAUUAGGAACCCAACACGUGUCGGGCCCACCCUUGAAUCAGAUCCCUGUGUGGCGCUGGACAGACUGAGCACAGGCGGAGAGGAAAACACUCCAGAUGGGUCAAACAGCUUCUACAGCAUCCGUCCCAUUGAUGCUGAUGACCUUGAGCAGGAGCAGAACCAGUGGGCAACAGAUGAGCCUGGUCCAUCCACUGUGCUGCAAACCGAGUUACUAACACCUCCUCCUGAAACAGACACUGGAUUAUUCCAAACACUUCCUCCUGGACCAGACCCCGAUUUAUUCCCAACACCUCCUCCUGGACCAGACCCUGAUUUAUUCCCAACACCUCCUCCUGGACCAGUCUCUGGAUUAUUCUCAACACCUCCUGAAUUGUCCCUACCAAGUGAGGUCGAUGUGCGUGUGACCACAAUAUCCUCACCGGAUACUGUUUCCUCCCAUCACACCGAUGUCACGACCUCGUCUCUCAACAAUCCAGGAAAAUUGUACGGUCCAGAAACUCACCGUAGAUCCCCCAAAUCCCACUUUGAGUGGCAGGAAAAUGCGGAGCUCAAACGUUCGUGGCUUCCAGCGAAUUCACGCAUCCGGAAAAUCCCGAGCCGAGAAGAGGGCGAUGAUCCCUCUGUCUCAAUUUGUUUUUACAGUGCACCUGAAGACCUGGCCCCCCCGAGACCUGAGCGUCAGGACGUUGCCACUCAAACUUUGCCCCCUGGUGCUUGUGGAGAUGCUCCCACUCCAUCCAAGAUGGAGUCCGUCUGUCAUGAGCAGCACGUGAUGGCUGAAGGGGGCAACAGUGGAGACGAGACAAAGGGAAUGGUGUGGUCUAAGGGCACACCCCAGGCUGAGUUCCCCCAGAUGGGUAGAGGUGUGGACAUCCCAGGGCCAGUGUCGGAGCUACAGCCCUCCAAGGCUCCCAGAGACUGCCCACAGCCUAAAACUUUGCCAGGACUGUCAGCCAAACCUCCCAGACUACAAAGGAGAGGACGCGUCAGCAUGGGGAGAAGAUACCAACAGAGGGAAGCAGACAAGACAAAGGAGCUGGACGCAGAGAGGAAGCCGUCACCUCUUCCUGAGAUCGGGGAGGCCAACUUCCCUUCUCUUUCUGCUGUGAAUGUUUCCACAGCAACCGUACCUGCAACUGAGAACAAGAGCUGUGCUGAGGGAAAUUGGCCUCACUGGAAAGCUGACUCCAGCACGAGCAGCCAAAAAGUGGGAGAACCUUAGAAAAACCUACAAGGAGCUUCGGAGACCACCAUCAGGGUCUGGGACUGAGUCUGGGGAGGUCACAGCUGACAAAUGGAAAUAGUUCCCGCUCAUGGAUGAGGCAAUAGGUGGCAGGCCCUCCAUUCGGCCCCCAUGCCUCGUUGCCUCAGCCUGGGUGGAGGGCCAUUCUACGUCAGGCUCCUCACAUUCAGUCCUGGAGAGACCUGAUGGUGAGUCAGGGACAGAAGAGGAGCAACCAGGGCCAGCAACACGCAAGCGCCAGCGGCGCGAUAGGAUCCUGGAGCUGCUAGAGAGGGCCGAGGAAAGGGCAACACAAGAGGUAGCCAGGGAUGAGAGACUUUUAGAUCUCUUAGAGCAAAUCAAAGAAAAAAUGUAAAAAAGUAUAUAUUAAAUUGUAUAAUUGUACUGUUCUGUUGGUAAUAUUAAAUUGUUUAAAUCAACUUCCAUCAAAGAUUGCUUUCUUCGCAUCAUAUGGUUGAUAACAAAUGCUUUAUUCAAAGUGUAAAUUUAAUUGAUACAGUUUUUGAUUUUGAAAUGAAAACUAUUUACAUAAACACACACAUAAAGAAAUUGCAUUUAUCCAAUGUGAUGUAAAAUUCCUGUAUGUAAAAUUCCUGUAUUACUUAUAUAGAUAUUUGAGAAUGUACCAUCAUGUCAUGGCACGAAAAUGUCACCGGACACUAAUUAUUUGAGAUAAUAAGGAAGUGUUAUGUUAUUGUUAUUGACAUUAAUAUUUUAAUCUAUUAUUAUUAUAUAAAGAUAAUAAUAGGGUAAAAUAUUGCACUUUCAAAGAAACAAGCGCUGAAUGUGUUUGGGUAUGUUUCGGAUGGGUUAAAAUAAUUAAAUGGACCUGGCCACACCUGGCCUUUUCCCGGGGAACGGGGAACGGUUCGUUAUUAUUAUGCGACAACAUUACGUCAUUUUACGUGCGCCGUAGUGUCCGAAAGCUAAUUUUGAAUUGAGUGCGCUACGUAGUUCACUCAAUCCAUGUCCCCCAUGUAGUGAGUAGUGAAUAGGGAACAAGUGUGUGUUGUAUUCACUUUAAUUUGAACACUUGGGACAUUCGAGUCACCUGAUAACAACAGUGAGAAAUAACCCAUAUUAAACAAAUACGGGGCUUCGCCGAUUAUCAGCGCUAGCAUGGCCUCACCGUCUGUUUCACUCGGUGUCUUUGUCUGUUCAGCGUGUGAAAUGUUUAGUUACUCCUCUGCCUCCCUUAGUGAAGGGAAUAGGUGCAGAAAGUGUAGUUUAUUUACGGCUAUGGAGGCGAGACUUAGCGAUCUUGAGACGCGGUUCCUCAGUUAGCUGGAGUUGCGUCAGGUAGCCAGGAGAAGCUAGCUGCUGCGGAGCCGCCUAGCGUAGCUACAGCUAGCGGCCCCCGGCAGCAGCCGGCUAGCCAGGGCGGCUGGGAGACGGUUCGUAGGAAGCGUAGCCCCAAACAAAGGCCCACGGUGCCCCACCACCCGCUUCCCGUGGCUAACCGCUUUUCCCACUCGGCGACACACCCGCUGAGAAACCGACCCUGGUAAUUGGCGACUCCAGCGACCAUAGUUAAGAGCAUUCCGGGGGCCAGAGCGGGCGACAUAGAAGCAAAUUUACGGCUGCUGGCGAGACGGAAACGUAAAUUUGGUUUUGGUUUAUUUAACACUAUAGAGGUAGUCUCUGUUCCACGGUUAAAAGUUCACCAAGCACAGAGCAGGGGAGCGUUGGAGAAAGUUGGAGAAACUAAUAUCACAAUUAAGUGUGGACUGUUAAAUAUUAGAUCUCUUUUGUGUAAAUCCCUGUUAGUACAUGACCUGAUAGUGGAUCAUCACAUUGAUUUAUUUUGUCUUACUGAGACCUGGCUUCAGGAGGAGGAGUAUGUGAGCUUAAAUCAGGGGUCGGCAACCCAAAAUGUUGAAAGAGCCAUAUUGGACCAAAAAAACAAGAAACCAAUCUGUCUGGAGCCGCAAAAAAUUAAAAGCCUUAUAAUGAAGGCAACACAGGCAGUAAGUGUCUAUAUUAGCUGUAUUAGCCUACUUUCCAAAUGGUAAGUAGGCCACAAAUACAUAAUGAGCAUUCAUGAUUGUAGCUACAACGGUCCAAUGAAAUAAUGGCCACGCAUCAUACAGAUGUCUUUUGAAAAGAACCCUACAAGUGACCUAUCAAAGGAAACAUACAUAAAGAACAAUACAUUUUUAAGCCAUUUCAACAAUAACGAAUUGAGACAUUAAAUGAAAUUAUGACCAUUUUGAAAAUGUAAAAUAAAUAUUGACUGAAUUUUUCAAUUAACAUGUCUCUCAGACAGUUACAAUGAUGAAAUGUUUAUUUUCCUGCCGCGCAUCCUGGAGAGAAUGACGCCCCAUGUGACCACUCUGCUGUACGAUGGUGCUUUAAGUUUAACUUCCAUUAUCGUGGGAUGUUGAAAACUUUAAGAAUGUUUGUCACGUUUUUCUCCUACAAAAAUUAUAUUAAAACAAUUUCCAUUUUCAUAUUUUUGAAAAAGCUCCAGGGAGCCACUAGGGCGGCGCCAAAGAGCCGCAUGCGGCUCCAAAGCCGCGGGUUGCCGACCCC
rnacentral:lncRNA from 1 species